GCGUUGCUCGGAAUCACUGGGCGUAAAGGGCGCGUAGGCGGCCGAUCAAGUCGGGGGUGAAAGCCUGUGGCUCAACCACAGAAUUGCCUUCGAUACUGUUCGGCUCGAGACCGGAAGAGGUAAGUGGAACUGCGAGUGUAGAGGUGAAAUUCGUAGAUAUUCGCAAGAACACCAGUGGCGAAGGCGGCUUACUGGUCCGGUUCUGACGCUGAGGCGCGAAAGCGUG
rnacentral:rRNA from 1 species